rnacentral:rRNA from 1 species
UACUGACGCUCAUGGACGAAAGCCAGGGGAGCGAAAGGGAUUAGAUACCCCUGUAGUCCUGGCCGUAAACGAUGAACACUAGAUGUUGGGGGAAUCGACCCCCUCGGUGUCGUAGCUAACGCGUUAAGUGUUCCGCCUGGGGAGUACGCACGCAAGUGUGAAACUCAAAGGAAUUGACGGGGGCCCGCACAAGCGGUGGAGUAUGUGGUUUAAUUCGAUGCAACGCGAAGAACCUUACCAAGGCUUGACAUCCUGCGAAUCUCCGAGAAAUUGGAGAGUGCCUUCGGGAACGCAGUGACAGGUGGUGCAUGGCUGUCGUCAGCUCGUGUCGUGAGAUGUUGGGUUAAGUCCCGCAACGAGCGCAACCCACGUUUUUAGUUGCCAGCAUUCAGUUGGGCACUCUAGAAAGACUGCCGGUGACAAACCGGAGGAAGGUGUGGACGACGUCAAGUCAUCAUGCCCCUUACGCCUUGGGCUACACACGUACUACAAUGCUGCGGACAAAGAGUAGCGAUCUUGCGAAAGUUAGCUAAUCUCGUAAACCGUGGCUCAGUUCAGAUCGUAGGCUGCAACUCGCCUACGUGAAGGAGGAAUCGCUAGUAAUCGCAGGUCAGCAUACUGCGGUGAAUACGUUCCCGGGCCUUGUACACACCGCCC